UGGGAAAGUUCUCAGGCUUCUG
rnacentral:miRNA from 1 species